rnacentral:rRNA from 1 species
AUUGAACGCUGGCGGCAGGCCUAACACAUGCAAGUCGAGCGAGCGGCGGACGGGUGAGUAAUGUCUGGGAAACUGCCUGACGGAGGGGGAUAACUACUGGAAACGGUAGCUAAUACCGCAUACCAUCAGAUGUGCCCAGAUGGGAUGAGCUAGUAGGUGGGGUAAUGGCUCACCUAGGCGACGAUCCCUAGCUGGUCUGAGAGGAUGACCAGCAACACGGGAACUGGGACACGGUCAGGACUCCUACGGGAGGCAGCAGUGGGGAAUAUUGGGCAAUGAGGGCAGGCCUGAGGCAGCCAGGCCGCGUGUGGGAAGAAGGCCUUCGGGUUGUAAAGCACUUUCAGCGGGGAGGCGUUACCCGAAGAAGAAGCACCGGCUAACUCCGUGCCAGCAGCCGCGGUAAUAC